GCAUACUCCUCCUUGGGGACAGGAGCUCAGAAAGACAUGGAAACUUUGCAAGAAUGGAAGCUGUCACCCACAGAAUACUGGGUGGGCUGGAUGGUUGAACUGUUUACAAGGGAAUGAUCUGUCACUUAAAUUUAUAUUUCCAAGUAUGAAGGGAAAGAAAUACAAUUAAGCAUGUAGGCCCUUUGAGGUCAAGUCUAAUUUAUUUCCUAUAUAUAUUUCUAGACAUACCAAUAUUUAAAAGUGACAUCAUAAGAAAGCUAUUUUAAAACAGAUGGUCUAUAUUAUAUAGCAACAAAUUUAAAGAUGCUGGUUUUCAGGUAAGAUCAAAUAGUGGAUUACUGCCAGUAAAAGCAUCAGCUGUUUUAAAACUGGAAAUCUCUAGUUUUUAAAAAUAAAUUAUAUGUAGUGAAAUUAAUUAUUUUUGGUAUUCAGUUAUGUUAGUAUUGAAAAAUGCAUUUAGUCAUGCUACCACCACAAAAAUCAAGAGGCAGAAUCACUCCAUUCCCCCAAUCCCCUACUCUCCACCCUGGGCCUCUGGCAACCACUGCUUUGAAAGUCUCUUCCAAAUUGUCAUGUAAAUGGAAUCAUGUGGUACCUAGUCUUCUAACUCUGGAUUAUUCUCAAAGAAUAUAAAUGCUUUUGAAAUUAUUCCAUUACUUAUUUGUAUCAGUGGUUCAUUUUUAAAUUACUGAGUAGUUUUGUAUUGUGUGGAUGAUUACAGUUUGCUUAUUCACUAACUGAAGGACUUUUGGGUUGCUUCCCAAUUCAGGGUGAUCAUUAAUAAAAUAUCUGAGUGAGAUUGUUGGGCUGAUGAUUAAAUAUAUUGUUUAACUUUAUAAGAAACCACUAACCUAUUUUCCAAAAUGCCUGUACCAUCUUGUAUUCCCAGUGUUUGUUUUGUUUUGUAUUGACAUCAUCAAGAAUCCAUUCUAGAGUUGUUCUCAUAGGUACAUAAUGGUAUCUCUCUGUGAUUUAAAUUUGUGUUUCUCUAAGGACAAAUGACAUUGAUUGAUUUUUUUGUGUACUUUCUUGCCAUCCUAAUAUCCUCUUUGGUGAAGUAUCUAUUAAAAA
rnacentral:lncRNA from 1 species